rnacentral:lncRNA from 1 species
UGAUUAGACUAUGUGCUGACUGUAAUAGACAGUACUAUGUGUUAAGAUAUAUUGUUCUAAUCGAACGAAUGAUCUGAUUAUUGAUAGGUUGUGAUAAAGAGAUAAAACCUAAGUUGAGAUUUGUAAUCAGCGAAUCAGGCAAGUAUCCUACCUUUGCAUUUUCUUUAUGCAAUGGACAUGAGUAAGAAGUUUCAGAAUUAUUCUAUUCCUGUACAGAUUAUGUACGCUUUGAUUAUCAACAUGUUAGCUCAGAUAUAUAUUCUGUUAAGUUGAUUUCUAAAUGGUUAUACAAGUGUCCCCACUUGGAUAAUCAUGGCAUUUAUUCACAUGUUGAUACACCUUUGUCAAUUACCCGUAUAUAUAUAUGUCGAAUUACAUAUUAUUGUUGAGCAAGAUUAAAAACCUUCGGGUUUGGAACCAGGCAUGUAUGAACAUCCCUAUAUGAG